rnacentral:ncRNA from 1 species
UCCGGCGGGCGACCGCUCGCCGGACCUGACACCGGUACCUGACACGGCCGGUGCAG